AUGCCCCAUACAUUGUGGGGGGGGGGGUUUAAUAUCCUCAGAGAAGCUUGUGAUAAAAAUAAAGCCUUGAAUAGAUCGCAUUAUGUGGAUAAAUUCAACUCCAUUAUAAACUCUUUGAACCUUCGAGAGAUUUAUAUGGGGGGAGGCAAGUAUACAUGGACUAAUAAUCAAAAGCACCCUACUCUGGAAAAACUCGACAGAGUCCUGAUGAGUUUUGAAUGGGAGGACAUCUUUCCUUUGGUCACGGUUCGUAAACUGGUGAGGGAUGUUUCGGACAACAAUCCACUUCUUUUGUCCUCGGGAGAGGAGAGGCAAAAGAACCAUAAUCAGCACGAAUUCAGGUUUGAACUUAGUUGGCUGUGUGACGAGAAUUUUUACCCUAUUGCCAAGGAGAUUUGGGAACAACCUGUCAGAACAAAUGAUCCUAUUGAUAUUCUUAAUAUCAAACUAAAGCGCAUCAAAAAGUACUUUAAAGGGUGGGGCUCAAACAUUUUUGGUGAUGCCAGGAAGAGAAAAAAAGAAAUUAAAAGGGAGCUAGAAGAAAUAGAGAGUAAAGAAGAGGAGAGACCUCUCGACCCUGAGUCAUAUGAGAGGAAAACUAUGCUACAGAUAGAACUCAGCGAGAUUCUAUUCAAAGAAGAGUUAUAUUGGCUGCAGCAGUCCAAUGAACGCUGGCUCUUAAAAGGAGAUCGAAACACAGCCUUUUAUCAUAGAGUGGCUAAUGGCAAAAAGAGGAAAAACACGAUCCAAUCCCUUACAGAUGGGGAUGUUGUGAUCGAGGGGACCACCAACCUGCUAGCUCAUGCCACAGCUUACUAUAAGGAGCUGUUUGGACCUGCUAGAGGGAACCUGUUUCACCUGUCACCUGAUAUGUGGGCUGAGACUGAGAAAUUGACCGAAGACGAUAAUACCCUGCUUACUAGUAAGUUCACUAAAGAAGAGGUGAAAAAAGCUCUUUUCAAUAUGAAGAGCAACCGAGCCCCUGGCCCCGACAACAUACCUGUAGAGUUUUAUAAACAUUGA
rnacentral:rRNA from 1 species